AGUGGCAUUGAUUCAUUAACCUCUGCAAUGUUCAAGAUGGUAUAAUAAUUUGUAUUUGCAAAUAUACCACAUGGGGAAAUGGCUUUGAAAAAGGCAGGAAAGCCAGUAUAAAUAGGGACUCUGGAACAUCUUAAAGGGUAUCUUUGCGCUUGGGGCAAUGACGCAGCUAAUGAGGUACUAACCGAGGCGCGUCUAUUGCUGGUUGAAAACUAUUUCCAAACCCCCUCUUGGGCCGCGGCUUGUCUGCGGCCUUCGAGAAUUUCUGGAAGGGCUCCCUUCGGGGUAAAGCCCUACAAUCUCCCAGUUUAAAAUUCUUACGCAAUCGGUGCUUAACAACCAAAUUGCUCUGCUUUAGUAGCCGAGUUCUUGUAGUUCUUUGUAGUUUCCUGUUCCUUAACUGGACCAGCCCUAGUUCGCAGUCGCAAUCGCUCAGUCAAACCUUGCUGCUGCUUGAUUCUGUGUGUUCGAAAACUGCGAUUGGUAAAUUUACGACAUCCUGCUAUAAGUCUUCUGACUUAUGAGCUGUACAGCUGUACACUAUUUAGCUACUUCUUCUGGCAUACGAUACUGCAAGUUCAAAAUCGUUCAAGUCACGAGGGACAGUAGCAGUAAGCAGCAUUCUGCAACAUGUAAACCUUUCGAUAUGUCGAUGGAAAUUUGAUCGCUUACCGCGAACAAAACACUAUGGACUGAAUGUUGAUUCCUGUACCGAAUUUGUGAUCUUUCGAUACAAAAAAGCCAAGGUCUGUGACUGCUUUCUCCUGGACAUAGCAAGCUCAUGUUUGUGCACCUUCUUCAACCAGUAUCCGAAAAGGAUGGGAGAAAUGAAGAGUGUAUUUACCUGGAUUUGCUUGUUUUGCAAUCAUGGGAACAAGUGACCGAAGAGGUAGGUUAUGUACUUAAAGCCUUAAGGCCUUAAGUCGUUGCUCUUGGCCUUCAAAAUAGAGUAGUUGAAUACCACAUUACUAUAUACUGAAGAGGACAUCUAGUGAAGCUGAAAGCCACAGGAUAAAAACAAUGCUCAAUCAUUCAAGCAACUCGUACCUUUCUCGGCCUUUUGGCUAAAAUCCAGUGUAGUAUAGGUUCUUAUCAGUUUAUUUUUGUAAGAGGAGUUUCCCAUUACUAGUGCUUGCUCUAGGGGAUUCUCAUGUGUCUCUCAUGUGUUGCACGCUGC
rnacentral:lncRNA from 1 species